rnacentral:rRNA from 1 species
AGUGGCGAACGGGUGAGUAAUAUAUCGGAACGUGCCCUGAAGUGGGGGAUAACGUAGCGAAAGUUACGCUAAUACCGCAUACUAUCUGAGGAUGAAAGUGGGGGACCUGUGAGGGCCUCAUGCUUUAGGAGCGGCCGAUAUCUGAUUAGCUAGUUGGUGGGGUAAAAGCCUACCAAGGCGACGAUCAGUAGCUGGUCUGAGAGGACGACCAGCCACACUGGAACUGAGACACGGUCCAGACUCC